GGGUAGCCGGCCUGAGAGGGUGACCGGCCACACUGGGACUGAGACACGGCCCAGACUCCUACGGGAGGCAGCAGUGGGGAAUAUUGCACAAUGGGCGCAAGCCUGAUGCAGCACGCGCUGCGUGGGAUGACGGCUUGGGUUGUAACCUCUUUAGUAGGGAAGAAGCGAAAGUGACGGUACUGCAGAAAAAGCACCGGCUAACUACGUGCCAGCAGCCGCGGUAAUACGUAGGGUGCAAGCGUUGUCGGAAUUAUUGGGCGUAAAGAGCUCGUAGGCGGCUUGUCGCGUCUGCUGUGAAAUCCCGGGGCUCAACCCCGGGCCUGCAGUGGGUACGGGCAAGCUAGAGUGCGGUAGGGGAGAUUGGAAUUCCUGGUGUAGCGGUGGAAUGCGCAGAUAUCAGGAGGAACACCGAUGGCGAAGGCAGAUCUCUGGGCCGCUACUGACGCUGAGGAGCGAAAGCAUGGGGAGCGAACAGGAUUAGAUACCCUGGUAGUCCAUGCCGUANACGUUGGGAACUAGAUGUAGGGCCUGUUCCACGGGUUCUGUGUCGUAGCUAACGCAUUAAGUUCCCCGCCUGGGGAGUACGGCCGCAAGGCUAAACUCAAAGGAAUUGACGGGGGCCCGCACAAGCGGCGGAGCAUGCGGAUUAAUUCGAUGCACGCGAAGAACCUUACCAAGGCUUGACAUAGCCGAGAACGCUGUAGAGAUACAGAACUCUUUGGACACUCGGUUACAGGUGGUGCAUGGUUGUCGUCAGCUCGUGUCGUGAGAUGUUCGGUUAAGUCCGGCAACGAGCGCAACCCUCGUCCUAUGUUGCCAGCACGUUAUGGGGGAACUCAUGGGAUACUGCCGUGGUCACACGGAGGAAGGUGGGGAUGACGUCAAAUCAUCAUGCCCUUAUGUCUUGGGCUUCACGCAUGCUACAAUGGCCGAUACAAAGGGCUGCGAUACCGCGAGGUGGAGCGAAUCCCAAAAAGUC
rnacentral:rRNA from 1 species